rnacentral:lncRNA from 1 species
UGAGCCUGGGCUAUGCCCUCAUGCUGUGCCCUUUUGUUGUGGUCCUGGGUGGCAUGUUCUUCCUUGCCACUGCUCUCUUCUUCCUCAGCGAUCGUGCCAAGGCUGAGCAGCAGUGAGUAGGGUUGGGUGGGCACCCUGUGAAGCAGGGACUGUGACAGCUUUUACCCUAGUGUGGAGGGGAUAGUAAGUUACUUUGUACCUCCAGGGCUAGGUGACCUGCUGGAGGCCAGGGCUAGCUCUAAAAUGCUUGACUCCAAGUCUCCCUAUGCCCCAGCUAGUAUGUUGAAGGCCCAGCCAACUGUGGCCCAGGCUAGUAGAUGCCAGUCUCUUUUGUGGUAGCUCCAGACAUGGGUUUUUCUCUCGAGUUUCUCUCAGGGUUUUAGAGCUGGGAGACCCAUCCCCUUCUCUCACUUUCUGACUUCUUUCUUCUCUUUUCUCUAUUCCUUUCUCUCUCUUCUCCCUACCCCUGGGCUUUCCCACCUCCCCCUGGGGCUGACGAGGUCCCUGCCCAGCGCCUCCGGUCUACCGGCCCCAGUGAUUCGAUGUGCCAGAGCCGUGCCUGGGCCCAGUCCCCGCUGAUGUGCCACCCUGACCCCCGUCCGUCUCUCCCUCAGGGUGAACCAGCUGGUGAUGCCGCCUGCAUCCGUGAAAAUCUGAGGUGGUGCCGCUGGGACAGCAAUGAACUGCAGUUUAGAUUGGGAGAGGUUCUCCAGCAUCCUGGACCUGCAGGACGGUCGCAAAGCUUCCUGUGUGACUCACAGUUGGGUACACACCCUCUUUGGCCUAGGACUGCCAGGACUGAGUGGCCCUAUCUUCAAGAAGCUGCAUCCUCAGUGAACCUAGAAGGCUGUGUGUGCUGGAGUCACUCAGUUGGACACAACUCCAGCCCUGGUUGGGGGCUGAAGGGCCAAGAUAGAAGCAGCCACCCUGCAGUGGGUAUUUGGGGAGAUUCUGGUCCACCCUUAGCUCAUGUGAUCUUGAGGGAGCCACUAUCCUCCCUAGACAGUGGAACCAAGGAGCUGGAGCUUCCUCCAUUGUGUGCCAUGCAUGGCACCCUCCACAACUUUGAAGAAACAGGCCCGGGGCUGUACACAGAAGACACCGCUCAGGUCUCAGGACCUCAGUUCCGGUUCUGAGGUCUGCCUAAGGCUCUGGUGGACGGGGACCACUUCCCCACUUGUAGGCGCUAACCUUGGGAACAGCAAAUUCAGCCUGGCAUGCGUAGCUGGGCACACACCUCUGGGUGUUCGUGGGUGGGACAGUCUCCCAGGAGGAUACUGUCUCUGCUGUCUUCAGCUAGUUCUUUGCCUGGAAGUUUUUCUCAGAUGGGAUCACCCUCCUUAAAGGAAGCUGUAGCCCUAGGGGGUGAAGGCCCCAUGGUAGGCUGAGAAUUUGAGAACCUCCCUUCCUCAUCCCAGCCCCCAAACUUCUGCAGUCCCCCAGAAGUCACCUCCUCCUCCAGGAUGAGCCCUUCCCAAUGAGGGGUCAGAUAGGAUGCUAAAGGACUCACCAGCUGUCCACACUACUCCUCGGCCUAGGUGUGAAACUGCUGGAGAUUGCCCACCAGUGCCUGUAGGUAUCAUACCCCAACUGACUCUCUUGGGGCCAGGCCUUCACCCCAGCCUUUGAUCACACUAUUCCCAUAUACAUACAACCCUCACCCCCCUGCAGCCACCCUAGUCACCUUUGGGCACUUACCCCAGCUUUACUCCUUGCACGCUGUAACCAAGGUGGCUCUGGUCCUGGGGUACCAUUGUAACUUAGGGAAACUUCCAGAACCAGCCAGCGUGGACAACAGUCUCUGUGGCUGUACCCCACUUGCUGUGGCUUCAGUGGUGUGAUACCCACCCCAACAAGUUCUGGGGCACCCUGGGGGUUUGGACAUGGGUUUGCAGAGGGUGCUAUCCCUAAAGACCAGCCUGGCUCCCACCCUAGCCCCAGCAGGGGCCCUAGCAAUGUUUUCUUGUUGUACAAGAACCAGGUCCAAGUGUUGCCUCCUCUUCCUUCCGGAAGCUGAACUGCUCCUUUAUUUUUUAGAGCUGCUGAUUGUGAAUCUCAGAGUCUUAAGAGAGAAGCCAAAUAUAUAUUCCUCUUGUAAAUGAAGAAAUAAACCUAUUUAAAUGUUUUGG